UUAGGUUAACAGGCAACUGCCGACUUUUGAAGUUUCGGCCUUCCGCGUUCCGCCUUGUAUUAAUUACAGACAAUGGCAAAGGUACCAGCACAAAACGCGUGGAGCACAAGCCUCUGUGACUGCGCAGCGGAGCCCAGUGGAUGUGGAUUUUGCCGUGAGUUCGGCAGUCCAUAUCGUGAAGCCUUCCGGCACCUCAAAUGCGCUACAUAUGCGCACGCACGUCG
rnacentral:lncRNA from 1 species